rnacentral:rRNA from 1 species
AGAGUUUGAUCAUGGCUCAGGACGAACGCUGGCGGCGUGCUUAACACAUGCAAGUCGAGCGGUAAGGCCCCUUUCGGGGGUACACGAGCGGCGAACGGGUGAGUAACACGUGAGUAACCUGCCCCUGACUCUGGGAUAAGCCUGGGAAACUGGGUCUAAUACCGGAUAUGACCUCGUGCCGCAUGGUGUGGGGUGGAAAGGUGUUUUUCCGGUCAGGGAUGGGCUCGCGGCCUAUCAGCUUGUUGGUGGGGUAACGGCCUACCAAGGCGAUGACGGGUAGCCGGCCUGAGAGGGCGACCGGCCACACUGGGACUGAGACACGGCCCAGACUCCUGCGGGAGGCAGCAGUGGGGAAUAUUGCGCAAUGGGCGGAAGCCUGACGCAGCGACGCCGCGUGGGGGAUGAAGGCCUUCGGGUUGUAAACCUCUUUUACCACUCACGAAGGCCCCUGGUUUUCUGGGGGUUGACGGUAGGUGGUGAAUAAGGACCGGCUAACUACGUGCCAGCAGCCGCGGUAAUACGUAGGGUCCGAGCGUUGUCCGGAAUUAUUGGGCGUAAAGAGCUCGUAGGCGGCCUGUCGCGUCUGCUGUGAAAGUCCGGGGCUUAACUCCGGGUGUGCAGUGGAUACGGGCAGGCUUGAGGUAGGUAGGGGAGACUGGAAUUCCUGGUGUAGCGGUGAAAUGCGCAGAUAUCAGGAGGAACACCGGUGGCGAAGGCGGGUCUCUGGGCCUUACCUGACGCUGAGGAGCGAAAGCGUGGGGAGCGAACAGGAUUAGAUACCCUGGUAGUCCACGCCGUAAACGUUGGGCGCUAGGUGUGGGGACUUUCCACGGUUUCCGUGCCGUAGCUAACGCAUUAAGCGCCCCGCCUGGGGAGUACGGCCGCAAGGCUAAAACUCAAAGGAAUUGACGG